CAGUUUUCUGUUUUGAGAGCAGGUUGGCGAGGAGAGGCGUAACUCUGAUUCUUUAGAGCACAAACAGAUACGAUCAGAUUCGUGACAGCGAGCCCAAUCACUGGGAGGCCUACAUACUGGAGGUCAAAGGUCACAGAGGAGAAGUCCAGGUUUUCUCCAGCUCCACAAAGCUCUACUUGGACCUCGAAGAUAUCGCCACCUUCAUUCAAACAGACAAAGUAAUGUACUUACCUGGGCAGACGGUGAAGAUCAGAGUUGUUUCCAUUCACUCUGAUGGGAAGCCCUUCAUCAGCCCCGUGGACAUCAUCAUCAGGGAUCCGAGGGGAAACCUGCUCAGGCAGUGGCUGGCUGCAGACAGCGUCCUUGGCAUUGUGUCCAAAGAGUUUCAGCUG
ensembl:lncRNA